AGGUAAACAAAUACGGGUCCAGCUUAGGGAAAAAGAAAAACAUCUUACAGCCAGUUUCUAAACUUCAAACAACGGAAUGUGUCAAUGAGACCUUGUGUAUGGAUACACGUGCAUUUAAAACGGCCCCGCCAGCGUGUAGCUCUUGCCGUUCGCCAGCGCUUUACAGGUGUUAUCGCACUUAGGCCUCGGAACAACUUUACCAGAUGAGAUCAUCUGAGGCUCAGAUUAAGAAAUCUUAAGUCUCAUAACUGGGCCAUUUCCAACAGGCUUGUCUAUGUGCAUUCCAUUCAGGAUUGAGACCCUGGACAAUGGACAGUGUUGCAGGUGUUGACUGAUACAAGCAUGCUGUCAGCCACACAAUGAGUCUACCAGAAAGGAAUGAAGAACAAACCUUCAGGAAUUGAGUCACAAUGCAGACAAAUAUCAAAUCAGAGGUUGUUGCAAGGAAGAGAUUGAUGAUAGUAUUUUCUACUAGCCAUUGGGAAUAUAAAAAGAGACAGAAGAUUGAAGCCUUUGCCAGCCAUUCUUUCCCUUUUUGCUUUCAAAUUCCUCAACUGUGAACCUUCAUAUGUGCAGUAUUUAUAUUGGAUCAUACUGGUGAUUAUAAAGGUUCCUAAGAGGCUAGAAGAGCCAACCAACAGAGACAGGAAAGCAGUCUGUUCCGAACAUAGGGACAUAAGUUCAUUCAUGCCAAGUAUCUUUCCAGCAUGUUUCUCCCAUUUAGAAACAUCUAGCAUGUAACACCUUUUAAUAUUAAUAUAAGCCCAAAUACCAGCCCUUUCCCUUUGUAUUUCAUCUCUUUCUGCUCUCCUAUUUGUAUUCUGUUUUCCUAUCGGUGUUAUGCCUGGGAGAUGACCUGCCUGUUCCUGUUCUAUAAGAGUUUUGUUUGCUGCUGUGUCUCUAGAACAAUGCCUGGCACACAGUAAGCACUCAAUAAACCUUUGGUGAAUGAA